GAUGAAGGCUGGCGGCGUGCCUAAUACAUGCAAUUCGAGCGAAGCGGGGACGGGUGAGUAAAACGUGGAUAACCUCCUAUAAGACUGGGAUAACUUCGGGAAACCGACGCUAAACCGGACACUUAUAGAUGGAUCCGCGCGGAAUUGGCUAGUUGGUAAGGUAACGGCUUACCAAGGCAACGAUGCAUCGCCGACCUGAGAGGGGAAUCGGCCAAACUGGACCUGAGACACGGUCAGGCUUCCUACGGAAGGCAGCAGUAGGGAAUCUUCCGCAAUGGGCGAAAGCCUGACGGAGAACCGCCGCGGGAUUGAGGCGGGUCUUCGGAUGGUAAAACUCGGUUAUUAGGGAAGCGGUACCUGAUCAGAAAGCCACGGCUAACUACGUGCCAGCAGCCGCGGUAAUAC
rnacentral:rRNA from 1 species